GGAGUUUGGUCCGUGUCUCAGUACCAAUGUGGGGGACCUUCCUCUCAGAACCCCUACUGAUCGUAGGCUUGGUGGGCCGUUACCCCGCCAACAACCUAAUCAGACGCAUCCCCAUCCUAUAGCGGUGAACCUUUGCUUCUCGUCAGAUGCCAUCAAAGAAGAACAUAGAGCAUUAAUUCGACUUUCGCCGGGCUAUUCUCUACUAUAGGGAAGGUUGGAUACGCGUUACUCACCCGUGCGCCGGUCGCCAUCAAAGUUUGCAAGCAAACUUCAUGCUGCCCCUCGACUUGCAUGUGUUAAGCCUGUAGCUAGCGUUCAUC
rnacentral:rRNA from 1 species